rnacentral:rRNA from 1 species
AGUGAACGCUGGCGGUAGGCCUAACACAUGCGAGUCGAACGGCAGCACAGUAAGAGCUUGCUCUUACGGGUGGCGAGUGGCGGACGGGUGAGGAAUACAUCGGAAUCUACUUUUUCGUGGGGGAUAACGUAGGGAAACUUACGCUAAUACCGCAUACGACCUACGGGUGAAAGCAGGGGAUCUUCGGACCUUGCGCGAUUGAAUGAGCCGAUGUCGGAUUAGCUAGUUGGCGGGGUAAAGGCCCACCAAGGCGACGAUCCGUAGCUGGUCUGAGAGGAUGAUCAGCCACACUGGAACUGAGACACGGUCCAGACUCCUACGGGAGGCAGCAGUGGGGAAUAUUAGACAAUGGGCGCAAGCCUGAUCCAGCCAUACCGCGUGGGUGAAGAAGGCCUUCGGGUUGUAAAGCCCUUUUGUUGGGAAAGAAAAGCAGCAGGUUAAUACCCCGCUGUUCUGACGGUACCCAAAGAAUAAGCACCGGCUAACUUCGUG